rnacentral:tRNA from 1 species
AAUUAAUUAGUCUAAGAAAGACUAUUGUUUUGAAAACAAUAAAUACUGGUUAAAUUCCAUUAUUAAUUU